UGGGGAAUAUUGCACAAUGGGCGCAAGCCUGAUGCAGCCAUGCCGCGUGUAUGAAGAAGGCCUUCGGGUUGUAAAGUACUUUCAGCGGGGAGGAAGGGAGUAAAGUUAAUACCUUUGCUCAUUGACGUUACCCGCAGAAGAAGCACCGGCUAACUCCGUGCCAGCAGCCGCGGUAAUACGGAGGGUGCAAGCGUUAAUCGGAAUUACUGGGCGUAAAGCGCACGCAGGCGGUUUGUUAAGUCAGAUGUGAAAUCCCCGGGCUCAACCUGGGAACUGCAUCUGAUACUGGCAAGCUUGAGUCUCGUAGAGGGGGGUAGAAUUCCAGGUGUAGCGGUGAAAUGCGUAGAGAUCUGGAGGAAUACCGGUGGCGAAGGCGGCCCCCUGGACGAAGACUGACGCUCAGGUGCGAAAGAGUGGGGAGCAAACAGG
rnacentral:rRNA from 1 species